rnacentral:rRNA from 1 species
CGUGUAGGCGGCUUGGUAAGUCAGAUGUGAAAGCUCCGGGCUCAACUCGGAAAGUGCAUUUGAAACUGCCAGGCUUGAGUACGGGAGAGGAAGGUGGAAUUCCCAGUGUAGAGGUGAAAUUCGUAGAUACUGGGAGGAACACCGGUGGCGAAGGCGACCUUCUGGACCGAGACUGACGCUGAGACGCGAAAGCGUGGGGAGCAAACAGGAUUAGAUACCCUGGUAGUCC